CGGCUUUUAAUAAUUAAAGGAACUUGUUUUUUAAUCGAUAACCCACGUUAAUUUUUACUUAUAUUUAAAACUUGUAUACCGUCGUCAUAGAUUACUUUAAAAAAUUUAAUCUAAAUUAAAAACAAAAACAAAUCAGAUCAAGGUGCAGUCAAUAUAUAAGAUAAAAUGAGUUACAUUAAUAAAUAAUUAUGAAUAUUCUAUUAAAAUAAUAAAAUUGAAAAAGGAUUUAAAAGUAAUUAAUUUUUAAAAAAAAAAAAUAAAUCUUCAACAAAAGUGC
rnacentral:rRNA from 1 species